rnacentral:rRNA from 1 species
GAUCAUGGCUCAGGAUGAACGCUGGCGGCGUGCCUAAUACAUGCAAGUCGAACGCUUCACUUCGGUGAAGAGUGGCGAACGGGUGAGUAAUACAUAAGUAACCUGGCAUCUACAGGGGGAUAACUGAUGGAAACGUCAGCUAAGACCGCAUAGGUGUAGAGAUCGCAUGAACUCUAUAUGAAAAGUGCUACGGGACUGGUAGAUGAUGGACUUAUGGCGGCA